CAUACUUUCACUACCUACCCUACAAGGAUGCUAUUUGGAAAACAAAUUACAAUCCUUAAAGUGUUACAGAAGUGUUAGUUAAUAUAAUCAUCAUCCUGUGUAUAUGCAAACCCUCCAGUAUAUUCAAAGACAAAGUUUCUGGAUUUGACUACUCAGUCUUGGCAUCUGCCUUCCAACCUGAUGCCCCAGGAAAAGGGAGUCUGAUCCAAGACUUUUCUCUUGUAAUGUGCACUGAGAAUCCAAAGAACAACUCACAUGCAUAUUGCAUGACAAGGUUUACUGAAUACAUUAACGUGUAAUGCUUCAUUGAGUUCGGUGUUGUCUGUCCCCUUUUUCACUGAUGGAAAAACAAGCUCAGAGAGCUCUGGAUUUAUGACUCUGUCAAGUACUAGAUACCAACACAAACAUGAUACUGAUACUUGCCCUAAAUUGAGCUUUCAUUCUUAUGCAUGGAAAUUGGGAAGGAAGAUGGCACUAUAUGUGCAGAGAGGCAGGAGAAAGGAAUGAUCAUCAGAGAGCAAUAGGAAGUUAUUUCCAGAUUUCAGGCUUCACAAGGAGGAUUGAAGACAAUUCUAAGAAACGCCUAAUGAAACAGACCAUCUACCUCUAA
rnacentral:lncRNA from 1 species